rnacentral:lncRNA from 1 species
AGACUAUGUGAGGACAUGAGUUACUAUUAAUAGGGUAGUAGGGGUAUUUUGUGAGUUAUGUGAUUGGUGAAGUUGUUAUUCUUCUCUCUCAAACUCUCUUUUCACAUCUCAAAUUCUUUUUGUAUUGCAACUAUUUGAUCUAAGUUCAAUAAGAAUGAUUCCUAUCUUAGCUUUAUUUCCUAUUCAAUUUUAGUAUCAUUUCAUUGGUGCUUUCAUUCUCACCAUGACAGAGUACGUGAAGAACAUCGCCGAAAAGGAUCCAUGGGAUCGAUGGGAGAAAAUGCACGCUCGCAACAACGUUGCUUUCGACGGAAUCAUCUCCAAAUUGGAGAUUCUACUUCAACACUACAACUGUUCGCCGAGCUCUUCCCAUGGUGCAUUGAACUCACCCAAACACAUCCCUACAUCAGAACCAUCGAAUAUCAAUUUGUUGAUGUAUGAUGAAUUUCGUUCAUCUGCAAAACAGAUCGAGGUUCCUUCUGUUCGUGAGUCGAAAUUAGUGGAAGAAGAGAUAAUAGCNNN